rnacentral:ncRNA from 1 species
UAGCUCUUCCCUUGACAAGGAUGGAAGAGGUCCUUGGGCCUAACAACACCCACCUGCUUAAGGCUGCACCAGCCACUUCAGAGGCAGAGGGGCAG